AGACAAAUGAAGACACAUAACCAUCUCUAAAUGCUACUAAACACAAAGCGUCUACUCUGAAUGCAGAUACUGCUCUCAUAAAAAUUCUGCAAAGGAGGAAGGGGUUGGUGCAGACUGUUCCGAUGCUGAUCAACUGAGAUGCAAAACCCAUGUUCACAUCAUGAGUGAGUCUUUUAACUCGGACAAUGCAAUCAACAAAUUCUAAGACCAAAUUCCACUCCUGAGUGUGGAAGGAGGUGAACAGGGAAAAGCAGAGAGGACAAAAGUCACAUCCCCUCCCCACAGACCCAUACUGGGGAAGGGUGGAAGAUUUAGCUUCGAGUCAAGUUCAGAAUUUUGAUUAACAUCUUGGCAUGCACAUUUGAAUUUCUGAAUCAGCACUGUUGGCCAUAAAAAGUGACUAUAGCCUUGUAUAUUACCUGAACUGAGCAGUCAAAAAAAAGUCAUGGUCCUCCUGGGGCUUUUAUUCAGAGACAGGAACCCUGAACAGGCAGGAGAAAGAGAAUGUUGAGAGAGAAACAAAGACAGUUGGCGACACACGCUGACCACCACUUGGACGUCCAUCAAACCCAGCACUGGCCCUGGGUACAUGUGCCUUUGCUAUUAUCCCAAUACAUUUUCUUCUGCAGAGCAAGCAACAGAACACAUGCAGACCUUAAUAAAUACCACUGGGUAAUGUGACAAUGGCUAAACUCUCCUCACAGGGGAGAGAGUGUCCCCCAGUUUUGUUCCCUUUUAAUUUCCAGGGUUCAUAAGUAGCUCUAAAGCUUUGCUCUACAAGGUUGAUACAUACGAUAUUAAUGUUUCCCCUAAGCAGUAUAACAUCAAUAUAUUUGCUAUCUUG
rnacentral:lncRNA from 1 species